GCUCCAGUACUGUGGUUCUCCAACAGAAACCUAAAUCCAUGAGUCAUGAAGGCUCCUAGGUAAAAAGUUUAAGCUCAAGCGGAAUCAACGCCAUGGCUAGGGCUUACCUCCACUGACAAAGGCAUCAUAUGGCUUCUCUAACAUGUGUCCGCAAAAAGAAAUCCACCAUUAUCUGAUCUCACUUACCUCACCAUCACCGUGGAAAACUCUCGUCUCCAUUGACGUCGAUCUGCUUCUCCCCCUUCCUCCUUUGCUUUCACGGCUCGGGUCUGGUUGCUUCUUAUUUUGGACCCAUCACGAUCUUCUCUCUUUUCUCUUCUCUCUCACGUAGCUUAU